UACAGAUGUCUCAAGCGUUGUUCGGAUUCAUUGGGCGUAAAGGGUGCGUAGGCGGCGCGGUAAGUCGGAUGUGAAAUCUCGGAGCUUAACUCCGAAACUGCAUUCGAUACUGCCGUGCUUGAGGACUGGAGAGGAGACUGGAAUUUACGGUGUAGCGGUGAAAUGCGUAGAUAUCGUAAGGAAGACCAGUGGCGAAGGCGGGUCUCUGGACAGUUCCUGACGCUGAGGCACGAAGGCCAGGGGAGCAAACGGG
rnacentral:rRNA from 1 species